rnacentral:rRNA from 1 species
GAUGAACGCUGGCGGCGUGCCUAAUACAUGCAAGUCGAGCGAACAGACGAGGAGCUUGCUCCUCUGACGUUAGCGGCGGACGGGUGAGUAACACGUGGAUAACCUACCUAUAAGACUGGGAUAACUUCGGGAAACCGGAGCUAAUACCGGAUAUAUAUUGAACCGCAUGGUUCAAUAGUGAAAGACGGUUUUGCUGUCACUUAUAGGUGGAUCCGCGCCGCAUUAGCUAGUUGGUAAGGUAACGGCUUACCAAGGCAACGAUGCGUAGCCGACCUGAGAGGGGGAUCGGCCACACUGGAACUGAGACACGGUCCAGACGCCUACGGGAGGCAGCAGUAGGGAAUCUUCCGCAAUGGGCGAAAGCCUGACGGAGCAACGCCGCGUGAGUGAUGAAGGUCUUCGGAUCGUAAAACCCUGUUAUUAGGGAAGAACAAAUGUGUAAGUAACUAUGCACGUCUUGACGGUACCUAAUCAGAAAGCCACGGCUAACUACGUG